UAACAAGAUUGUUCGCCAGAGAACUACUAGCCACAGCUUAAAACUCAAAGGACUUGGCGGUGCUUUAUAUCCCUCUAGAGGAGCCUGUUCUGUAAUCGAUAAACCCCGAUAAACCUCACCAACUCUUGCUAAUUCAGCCUAUAUACCGCCAUCUUCAGCAAACCCUUAAAAGGAAUUACAGUAAGCACAAGUACCCGCAUAAAAACGUUAGGUCAAGGUGUAGCUGAUGAGUUGGGAAGAAAUGGGCUACAUUUUCUAUUUCUAGAACACAUAUUUAUGAACGAAGACCUUUAUGAAACGAAAGGUUAAAGGAGGAUUUAGUAGUAAAUUAAGAGUAGAGCGCUUAAUUGAAUAAGGC
rnacentral:rRNA from 1 species